GUGCCAGCAGCCGCGGUAAUACGUAGGUGGCAAGCGUUAUCCGGAAUUAUUGGGCGUAAAGCGCGCGUAGGCGGUUUUUUAAGUCUGAUGUGAAAGCCCACGGCUCAACCGUGGAGGGUCAUUGGAAACUGGAAAACUUGGGUGCAGAAGAGGAAAGUGGAAUUCCAUGUGUAGCGGUGAAAUGCGCAGAGAUAUGGAGGAACACCAGUGGCGAAGGCGACUUUCUGGUCUGUAACUGACGCUGAUGUGCGAAAGCGUGGGGAUCAAACAGGAUUAGAUA
rnacentral:rRNA from 1 species